rnacentral:rRNA from 1 species
ACGUAGGGGGCAAGCGUUGCUCGGAAUUACUGGGCGUAAAGGGUGUGUAGGUGGCUGAUUAAGUUAAGGAUGAAAUCCCGAGGCUCAACUUCGGAACUGUCCUUGAUACUGGUCAGCUUGAGGAUAGUAAAGGAGAGCGGAAUUCCAGGUGGAGCGGUGAAAUGCGUAGAGAUGUGGAGGAACACCAGAGGCGUAGGCGGUUCGCUAGACUGGACCUGACGCUGAGGCGCGAAAGCUAGGGGAGCAAACAG